GACCACUACGAAUGCCACUGCUAAUGGGAUGCUGCUAACCUCUCCUGGCUGCGCUGCAGCUUGCUGCUUGCCAUUGACUUCUCUGUGCAGAAGACCCAGACUCCUCCUUUGUGAGAUUUUUGGGUGAUGGCAUUGGAUUUUUGGGUGAUUUUUGGCAUAUUCUUUGGGCUGGAGCUGGCAGACACUGUCUUGAGGGUGCUGCUACCUGCGGUAGUUUCAUGCAUGUUGCAGGCAGAGGAGUCACAAGACGGGGAGCAAAGCUGCCCUUUGCAUUGCAUCCCAUCCUGUUUAACUGCAGCUGUGUUUAACCAAGACCAUGUGCCAUUCAUUUACCUUUUCUCUGGAAAGAAGACUACUUCUCCAUGUAAUUUUGUGAGGGUGCUCUAACCCCAUUUAUGUCAGAGAGUUGAAGACAUCUCUGGCUUUACCGUGGAGUUUUUUAUGGGCUCACAAGAACCUGUCCUGACCAACAGGACUGCUAACUCCUGUUUCUUCUGGUGAGUUGCUGGGCACGACCCAUCCCUUUAUGAAGCUAGUAAUUACCGAGCUGAGGCUCUGGGAUGCCAUGAGGAGCCUAAGCCAUGGUUUUCUUAAUUAUUAUUUGCCUUACUUUGAAAUCUGCUGGUAGUUCCUUUGAAAGAUGAAGCUGGCGCUUUGCUAAGUGCCUUAUGAGCAUGUAGGGAUGCAAUCCCCACCCUGACUCGUCCUGUAAAUGCUUAUUUGCGCAGAGCUCCUGGUCUCUCCCUGGCGCAGGAGGGAAGAGAACGUGUCUCUUAUGCAGGAGCCAAAUAAUUUAGUCUGGCUCGAAGACACUUGGAACAAUUAUCCCCUGAAGCAGGGAUAAUUCCUAGCUAGACCGUUAAGAAGGCUUUAUGGCACACUUGUCCUAUCAGCACAAUGCAAAGGGGCUGUGGCUCUGUCCCAGGGUGAGUACUGUCAGGCUGGGCCUUUCCUCUGCUGCUGCGGUUCCUCUCAUGGACCACUUUCCCUUCUUAGCUGUGCUGCUUGAAUCCUUUUUUGGGGAGUGGGAAAUGGAGUCUCUGCAUAGAGCUGAUAAAAGCAAAGUGCUUAUACUACCUCAUUCGGGGACAAAAUAGAUGAGAAAUGAAUGAGAAGCUGUUCCAGGAAUAACCACUGGCUUAGGUGAAAAAAGUAUCCGUGUACUACGGCCCCAGACAGAAUAAGGCCUGAAGAGACCCUGCGGUUUUGGUGUACCCAAAAGCCUGGUGUUAUAGCCCUGGAAGCUCUGACAUCCAGGUGUGUUAAUUUUGGAGAGAUUAGAGGUCCCUCAUGAAAGGUGGGAUUAUUUGGAGGAUGUGUAAUUGCAGUUUAAGAUCAGAUGCCUUUCAACAGUCUCUCCAGUGACAAAUACCUCCAUAUAGCAAGUGCCAGUGGCACUCGGGGAAAGGAUCAAACCAGUAACAACCACCAGUGCAAAACAAAUUGACAGGGGUGAUUUAAAGGACUCCAGGAAGCAGGGCAGAGACAGGCCAUCAGACUGCAGGCACCUGAAUGGACUAUGGAGAGCAAAGAAAUAAUCAGAAAGAAAAAGCCCAAAUAUUGCAAGAAGUGUGGGGAGUAGGAUUGCAGUGUGUCCUAACGAUGCAGCUACCCAGGAGAUGGGGGGAAGCAGCAGUCCCUGCAGUGGAGACGGAUGCAGAGGGGGGUGUCUGCAGCGUGACCCUCUCGUAUUCAACGUCUCUUUCUGGCUUCAGAAGAAAACCAGGAGCCAUUCUGCUGCUGCACUCGCAGACGCUGUUGUGACACCAACAACUGCUUUGAUUCCAGCAGGAUUGUGUCACCAGCUGCCACGUAGCCCCAGCAACGCUGAUAAGCAGAAAUAGUAGACUGGAGAUAUCUGAUACACGGUAGAGCCAUUCGGAGAUGCAGACAGGCAGUUGACGGGAUACCCACAAAACAAGCGAUGUUGCUUGGGGCUGACACGUGGGAAUGUCACCCGUUGCUGGACAACAGGAUGGUACAAAUCACGGUUUGGAGGCCGGUA